GGCGCAGGUUGAAUGAUCGCGUUGGCUUGUAGGUCCAGAGUUAAGAGAUCCUUCGGUGCUUUGCACCUCAGGAUCAUCGGCUUAAAUUUGGGUACUAGGGCCGAUGAGGAAAGUCCGGGCUCCGAAGGGCAGCGUAGCGGGUAACGCCCGCCAGAAGAGUAUUUUACUUUUCGAGGAUUAGAGCCACAGAGACGAGUAACGGCUGCAAGGCUGUGAUGUGAAACGCGGCACUCUCUACGCGGAGCAAGACCAAAUAGGUCCGGCUGAAAGAGCUGCCCGCUCGUAAUAGCCGGACGGGUAGGUUGCAUGAUUCUGGCAGCAAUGACAGAACAUAGAUAGAUGAUCAUUAUCCGGCGAAGUCCGCCUUUGGCGGACGAAGACGGAACAGAACCCGGCUUAAAGUCCUGCGCCUAUU
rnacentral:RNase_P_RNA from 1 species